rnacentral:rRNA from 1 species
AACAUGCAGUCGAACGGAGUGCCUCGGCACUUAGUGGCGGACGGGUGAGUAACGCGUGAGAACCUGCCUUCAGGAUGGGGACAACAACGGGAAACCGUUGCUAAUACCCAAUAGGCCGAGAGGUGAAAGAUUUAUCGCCUGAAGAGGGGCUCGCGUCUGAUUAGCUAGUUGGUGAGGUAAAAGCUUACCAAGGCAACGAUCAGUAGCUGGUCUGAGAGGAUGAGCAGCCACACUGGGACUGAGACACGGCCCAGACUCCUACGGGAGGCAGCAGUGGGGAAUUUUCCGCAAUGGGCGAAAGCCUGACGGAGCAACGCCGCGUGAGGGAGGAAGGCCUUUGGGUUGUAAACCUCUUUUAACGGGGAAGAAGAAAGUGACGGUACCCGUUGAAUAAGCAUCGGCUAACUCCGUGCCAGCAGCCGCGGUAAUACGGAGGAUGCAAGCGUUAUCCGGAAUUAUUGGGCGUAAAGCGUCCGCAGGUGGUCUUUCAAGUCUGCUGUUAAAGAAUCAGGCUUAACCUGAUCAAAGCAGUGGAAACUGGGAGACUAGAGUUCGGUAGGGGUAGCGGGAAUUCCCAGUGUAGCGGUGAAAUGCGUAGAGAUUGGGAAGAACAUCGGUGGCGAAAGCGCGCUACUGGGCCGAAACUGACACUCAGGGACGAAAGCUAGGGGAGCGAAAGGGAUUAGAUACCCUGGUAGUCCCCU